AUUUUUAGCUUUUAAAAAAAUAUGAAAAAAUAAUUAAUAGAAAAAAAUUAAAAAUAAAAGAAUAAAGCAGAUGGCAAAAAUAAUUACAGAUACAAAUAAACUUACUGUUCAAUAUUUGUAUGAAGAGAUCAGUCCAAGACGAAAAUAACCGCAACAAAUUUUUUCUGCCUCCAAUCGUCAAAGUACUCUUAGUAUCUCCUCCUCCUUUAU
rnacentral:lncRNA from 1 species